rnacentral:rRNA from 1 species
AACGAACGCUGGCGGCAGGCCUAACACAUGCAAGUCGAGCGGGGGUAGCAAUACCCUAGCGGCGAACGGGUGAGGAAUGCUUGGGAAUCUGCCUGGUAGUGGGGGAUAACGUUCCGAAAGGAACGCUAAUACCGCAUACGUCCUACGGGAGAAAGGGGGGGAUCUUCGGACCUCUCGCUAUCAGAUGAGCCCAAGCGGGAUUAGCUAGUUGGUGAGGUAAUGGCUCACCAAGGCGACGAUCCCUAGCUGGUCUGAGAGGAUGAUCAGCCACACUGGAACUGAGACACGGUCCAGACUCCUACGGGAGGCAGCAGUGGGGAAUAUUGGACAAUGGGCGAAAGCCUGAUCCAGCCAUGCCGCGUGUGUGAAGAAGGCCUUCGGGUUGUAAAGCACUUUAAGCGAGGAGGAAGGUUCGUCACCUAAUACGUGACGGAAUUGACGUUACUCGCAGAAUAAGCACCGGCUAACUCUGUGCCAGCAGCCGCAGUAAUAC